rnacentral:rRNA from 1 species
UACGUAGGGUGCAAGCGUUUGUCCGGAAUUAUUGGGCGUAAAGAGCUCGUAGGCGGUUCGUCACGUCGGCUGUGAAAACCUGAGGCUCAACCUCAGGCCUGCAGUCGAUACGGGCGGACUUGAGUACUGCAGGGGAGACUGGAAUUCCUGGUGUAGCGGUGGAAUGCGCAGAUAUCAGGAGGAACACCGGUGGCGAAGGCGGGACUCUGGGCCGAUACUGAC